UACGAGGGGGGCAAGCGUUGUUCGGAAUUAUUGGGCGUAAAGGGCGCGUAGGCGGUGCGGUAAGUCACCUGUGAAAACUCUGGGCUCAACUCAGAGCCUGCAGGCGAAACUGCCGUGCUGGAGUGUGGGAGAGGUGCGUGGAAUUCCCGGUGUAGCGGUGAAAUGCGCAGAUAUCGGGAGGAACACCGGUGGCGAAGGCGGUUCUCUGGGCCUUACCUGACGUCUGAGGAGCGAAAGCGUGGGGAGCGAACAGG
rnacentral:rRNA from 1 species